rnacentral:rRNA from 1 species
UACAGAGGGUGCUAGCGUUGUUCGGAAUCAUUGGGCGUAAAGGGCGUGUAGGCGGUUUGUUAAGUCAUGUGUGAAAUCCCUCGGCUCAACCGGGGAACGACGCAUGAAACUGGCAAGCUAGAGUCCGGAAGAGGAGAGUGGAAUUCCUGGUGUAGCGGUGAAAUGCGCAGAUAUCAGGAAGAACACCCGUGGCUAAGGCGGCUCUCUAGUACGGUACUGACGCUGAGACGCGAAAGCGUGGGGAGCGAACAGG